GACAGAGGGGGCAAGCGUUGCUCGGAAUCACUGGGCGUAAAGGGCGCGUAGGCGGCCAUCUAAGUCAGACGUGAAAUCCCCCGGCUUAACCGGGGAACUGCGUCCGAUACUGGAUGGCUUGAGUUUGGGAGAGGGAUGCGGAAUUCCAGGUGUAGCGGUGAAAUGCGUAGAGAUCCGGAGGAACGCCAGUGACGAAGGUGGCCACCUGGCCCUCGCCUGACACUGAGACGCGAAAGCGUGGGGAGCAAACAGG
rnacentral:rRNA from 1 species